GGAGGUGGUUACUGAACUCAUUCGUAGGUAGCAUCCACAUUUGAAAGGCUUUUACAAGAACAAAAACGAGCGGAUGGUAUGCGUGAAGAAUAUGACUCCUAAAGAUAUCAUUCUUUAUGCAACCAAGCUAAGAAACGCAUUGGGAAGAAAGGUGGUGAAAUUGAAGACAGGGCAUGUAACUAAACACCCUAGUGUGCAAGGUACAUGGACAACUGAUGUGAAAUUUUGAGACACAGUAGUACCAAGUUCUUCACAAUUUUUUCUGUAUGUUUCUUUAUUGUUCAAUGUAGUCAUGAUGGCAACUUUGCCGAAACAUUCACUAUUUAGAGGUGAAUGAAACUGUUGUGUAAUGAACAAAGGCUAAUGAUGUCGUAAUAGAUGAUUGGACCCAAAUAUUUAAUAA